ACAUCAUUCUCAGACCCUUAUGGACUGGGAUGCUGCCAAACAGCUCUUUUCCCACAAAACUUUAGUAAACUUUGAGUGCUGGACGGGAGAGUAGUGCAUUUCCCAAAGAGCAGUACAGAAUUUGAAGAUACAGUAUAGAAAUUAUUUUCUGAAUCAAUUCUACAGUAUUUUCCUUCUGUUUUGUUACAAAUAUAAUUUCAUUUCUCUCUCUUACAUUGGUUUAGCACUUUGAUUUUUUUUAUUUAAGAAAUAGUUCUGUUCUACCAGUAGUAUGAUUUCUAGUAUUGCUUUGUAAAUUAUUUGUGCUUUUCCUAGCACAAGGAUGCUUUGAUUUUUGCCAGAUAUUAUACCAUACUUGCAUUUAAUUACAACCACGUCAAAAUAUUUUAGAACUACAAAGUAUUUCAACUCAGAUUACUCAGAAGAAAUAUAUUUAAGGAGCCACACAUGGGCCCAAUUCAGGUCUUAGUUACCACAGCUAGCAGAAGCAAAUCCAAGCAAAGACAUAUGUCAUCAGAGGAGACAGCAGAUUCUCAUUAAACGAAACAGCUAAUUCAGCAACUGUUUGCUCAGGAGUUCUAACAAGCGCUAUCCCUCACAGACCAGCGAUCCAAAUUGAGUCUUCUGUCUUGGUGCAUCUGAGAUGGCCAGCUGACCAACUG
rnacentral:lncRNA from 1 species